CAGUUCGAAGCAGCGUUAGUUGUUAGUCGGGCAAUGAUCAAGCUGGUGAUUAUAUUUCUUCAGGCUAGGAAGAGCUGUGAAUCGUUGGGAGUUGGUUCUAUGAUAAACGCUGUGGGCUGCACAGAGGGCCUGUUCUGGCCCUGAAGAGCAUGAAGUUGCUGAUCUGUGCGUGUGCGGCCCGCUUCUGGCAUGUGCAGGAGUCCUGAGGAUCAUUGGGAAUUGGAGUUCCCAACCCCGUUGAUAGGUUUGAGUCUCUUAACAUGAUAGAUGAUGGUUCUUCACACCUAUUUGUAGUUAACUGUUUUUCUGAAGUUUUCUUUUGUUAAAUUGCAAAUUUGGAGAUGUAGGGUUGGAUUCUCCCUUCCAGGACAAAGUCCCAUGGCAGGGGCGGGUACGAGGAGUGUUUCCCAUCAAGGAGGCCAACAGAAAUUCCCACAGUAACAUGUGACCCCAGCCUCACUAAUUAUGCAGUCAGGGGUUUCCUGACAUAUUGCGCGGUGGUGCAGGCUGGAUGGCAUGCACCCUGCCAUCAUAUCUGGGUGCCACAUUUAAAAGGUGCCUGGACAUCAAGUUAUUAACAAGACCCAUAGAGAUGGCAAGGGACAAGCUGCACCUAAGUUCAGUGACUCUUCUCUGGGCAUCCUCGACUGGUGGAGGCCAGGAGGUUCAUCCUGCACCCAGCUGAUGGGAGAAAGAGGCCAAGCAAGGAGAUCAAUUCUGCACAGGAGCAGGUUGCGACCACUGUCCGGGCCCAGGGUGUCCAACGCAGGUCAGCCGUCCAAUGCUGGAAGAGAAUGAAUGACCUCAUCUGCACAGCCACGGACAAGUUAAGCCAGCGAGAGAGGGAGAAGGUGGGACUUGGUCAGCCACACCUGAAGGAAGCGGCUGAGUUCAAGGAGAGGGCAGCCUAGCUGGCAGGUGUGGAGCGGGUCAUUGGAGAUGGGGAGACUGGAUUUGAGCCUCCAAGCAGUGCCACCAGGAAGAGGGUAAGGCCCGAGCCAGAAGAAGCCCUGUCCAGCUUCAGCACAAGCCCAAGCCCGAGAGGACUGAGGACAUAACACAAUAGCCAUGUGCAACUGUAGAGGCAUCACAACAGAAACCAGCACCCUAUAUCAGCCCAGAGACACACACCUUGUUGGAUAUUAGCUCCAGUAAAGGAAGGAUCUCACACUCUGGUGGUCACCGCAGAAGGAGACAGGGUCAGCCUAGCUCACUGGCACUUGGAGGAGUGCUGGGGAAGAGGAAUCUGUGAGGUCCUAGUCCGAUGACAGGCCUCUGGAAUCAGCCUUCUAAAUGAUGGUGCAGAGUCAGCAAGAGGCGGGCGAACAUUAGGCAGUGAUGCUCGACAGAUCAGAGACUGGACAAGUUGGGACUCAGUCCUAUCUCAGGCACGAGAACAAGUGCUACAUGGUUGGUCACAGGAGCCCAUAUCUGACGAAAUGAAACCAUGCUUCAGCAGAAGACAUGAAAUAACCAGCCAGGAUGGCAUCUUAUCGUGGGGAGCAUGAGUUAUAGUCCCUCCAAAGGGAGGGGAGCCACUUUUAAUUGAACCACACAGUGUCCAUCCAAGAAUUUCCGAAUGAAGACCAUAGCACGCAGCUAUCUAUGGUGGCCUGGGAUGGAUGGUGAAAUAGAGUUUGGUAAAGCACUGUGUGCAAUGUCAGUAACUGCAAAAGUUGCCAGUGACAGCUCCACCAUUCCUAUGGGAGUAGCUGGGUAGACCCUGGGUGUGGUUACACAUUGACCACAUUGGACCUUCCCUGGGAACAAUGUUUCUGCUCAUUGCUGAUACCAAUUCAAGAUGCUUGGAUAUAUAUUAGGUGAAGUCACCAACUUCGGUCAUUACAAUUGAGAAACUACAUCAGAAUUUUGCCAUUCAUGGAUUACCAGAAGUGGUUAUUUCUGAUAACGAGACGGCAAGUGCUGAGUUUCAAUGGUUUAUCAGCCUCAACAGUAUCAUUCAUGUGAAAACUGCAGCAUACCGCCCUUCUGCCCAAAAGGGCGGCUCAAAUGUUGAAGGCAGGCAUGAAAAAGGUAACUGGCAAUUCCUUGGAAACCAUACAAGCAAGCUUUCUUUUUUCAUUACAGGACUACCUCUCACACAACAAGUGCCACACCUGCAGAGUUAUUAUUGAAACACCAUCUCAGGAUGAGAUUGAGCUUAAUAAUGCCCAAUUUAGAGGGGAAGGUGAAAAGGAGUCAGGGAAGCCAGAAAAUUAGAUACGACUGCAUAGUUGCAAGAGGAAAUUUACCGUGGGAGAACCGCUAUAAGUGGAGAAUUUAAGGGAAAGACCAAAGUGGUUACCUGGUGAAGUAAGUGCGGCGACUGGACCUCAAUCUUACCACGUGCAGGUGGAAGGCUGGAUCGUCCGUAAACAUGUGGACCAUUUAAGGAAGAGAGAGACAAAUCACCAAGAUUUGGUUCCACCUGUGACCAUGACCAGGUCUGCAUUUUCUAUUGAGGAUACUCAA